rnacentral:misc_RNA from 1 species
AAAUAGAGAUCAUGGUUUCAAAGCUAUGCCAGUUCGAUCUCCUACUCGGAAGGGACUGGUUUUCCAAACCAAGAUGCAACAACUUUUAUCCCUCAACUACAGUACUACAACCAACAGCGUUCAACUUUCUAAAGAAGACAGAGAUUUAUUAGACAAGGUGUGCAGGAGGAGAUUGGUUCCAGGAAUAAGCAAGAGUCAAGAAUUUUGCACAGCCAAGAAAAGAGGUAAAGUCUGGGGAUCCAGCAGGAGCGCUGGAAGUUCUCCAGUUAGGGAGAUUGAUACAAGACAAAAAUUACAACACCCAAAUAAAUUGUACGUUAUGGAUGGCUUACACUCAACACCAUGUAUUAAUUAUAGGCAUUGAAUUCCCUGG